CACGUAGGGUGCAAGCGUUGUCCGGAAUCAUUGGGCGUAAAGAGCUCGUAGGCGGCUUAGUAAGUCGGGUGUGAAAACCCCAGGCUCAACCUGGGGACGGCACCCGAUACUGCUAUAGCUAGAGUCCAGUAGGGGAGUGUGGAAUUCCCAGUGUAGCGGUGAAAUGCGCAGAUAUUGGGAGGAACACCAGCGGCGAAGGCGGCACUCUGGGCUGGUACUGACGCUGAGGAGCGAAAGCGUGGGUAGCGAACAGG
rnacentral:rRNA from 1 species